UACGUAGGGGGCAAGCGUUGUCCGGAUUUACUGGGCGUAAAGAGCGUGUAGGCGGCCACGCAGGUCCGUUGUGAAAACUGGAGGCUCAACCUCCAGCUGUCGACGGAAACCGUAUGGCUAGAGUCCGGAAGAGGAGAGUGGAAUUCCUGGUGUAGCGGUGAAAUGCGCAGAGUAUCAGGAAGAACACCCGUGGCUAAGGCGGCUCUCUAGUACGGUACUGACGCUGAGACGCGAAAGCGUGGGGAGCGAACAGG
rnacentral:rRNA from 1 species